GAGGGUAUAGCUCAAGUGGUAGAGUGCAUGACUGGCAUGCACGAGGUCCUGGGUUCAACCCCUAGCACCUCCU
rfam:Camelus ferus unplaced genomic scaffold scaffold688, whole genome shotgun sequence.